rnacentral:sRNA from 1 species
UAAUAGCGGAAAGUAAAGGCUUUCCUAGUUGGGACAGCAUAUAGGGAAACGUUAGGGAUUAUAGGCACCGGAGAGGUAACCCGGCUUGAGGGGUUGGUUAAAGGGAAAGGCGAGACUUAGGGCGAGACCGAGCGGAGCUAAUUGAGGCGACGCAGGGAGGGGCGGGACCGCGGACUGGAUUUCGACUUCCAAAUUCCCACGAGGUAUAGGAGUCUGAGGGUUGCACAGGACGUUAUGCAUUGUUUGACUCCUCCAGAACCUUUAGAGAAACUUCUGUCAGGCCCGCCUGCUAGGCACUAGUCGGAGAGAUAAUGUAGCUAGGGAGAUGUGGCGGACAGAAAGGGCAGAGAGGCUCUCUGAGGAGCGGAUGGAGGAUCGUGGGCCGCUUUACUGAGAAGGAAGAGACCCUGCGAGAAGGAGUAGUGUCCACUUGGUCCCGUCAGCCGAACCCCACCUGGACGGCUGGGGCCACUUGUGGUCGCCGGGAGGGCAGACUGCUGGGUACUAGGAGACAUGGGCAAGUGUGGCCUCCUGCUUUGGUGAGCAGAUUGGGUCCGGCUUGGGGCAGGCACUAAUGAUAGCUCUGCCUUCUCCAGGUCCCUCCAUCGACUGGUGGGUGUGAAGAUCCUCCUCUCUACAUCCUCCCCUAGCUGCUCCGGCUCUCUCCCUGGGCUCUCCUGCUCCUUUUCUAGCUGGAUCCAUCUCCGCUGCUGCUCCCUGGCCAGGUCUUCCAGCUUCCACUGCCGCAGCUUUUCCUGGUGCUCCUGCUCCAGCAGGGCCCACUUCUUCUGCCGCUGCUGCCA